rnacentral:rRNA from 1 species
UACGAAGGGGGGCUAGCGUUGUUCGGAAUUACUGGGCGUAAAGCGCACGUAGGCGGAUAUUUAAGUCAGGGGGUGAAAUCCCAGAGCUCAACUCUGGAACUGCCUUUGAUACUGGGUAUCUGGAGUAUGGAAGAGGUGAGUGGAAUUCCGAGUGUAGAGGUGAAAUUCGUAGAUAUUCGGAGGAACACCAGUGGCGAAGGCGGCUCACUGGUCCAUUACUGACGCUGAGGUGCGAAAGCGUGGGGAGCAAACAGG